CUGGGUGUGCUUUACGGACAAGCGCACGACAAUGACGUAGAGAGCAUAGCAACCACCCUGGGAGGGCCUAUGAGCCAUAACAACCAGUUGACCAAUCAACACAGGGCAAGCCCUCCAAGCCUGGAGGCACACCAAUCCUGAGCCUGUGCGUACCCCUAGACACUCCCCUUACGCUGCCCUAUAAGAUCUUUUGGGAGCCCGUUGGAGCCGUCUUUUUCUAGCCGUCUGCCAUGGCGGGUGGGUGAAAGACCCGAGCUAACAUGGGGUUAGUUCGUUAAAUUACAAUAAAGCCUCGUGCAGUUUGCAGCAAGCUCUCGAAUCCGCCUGGUGAUUGGGGUGACCGCGAACCUGGCCUGAGACCCCGGAUACUUGAGUUUUCGGGGGUCUAACAUUUUGGGGGCUCGUCCGCGAUUUGCGACCACCCUUCACCUGAGUGGAUUCGAUCUUGGAGAUGCGCCGGAGGACAGACUGCCACUCUGAGGACACCCAGGACCCAAGAGGUAUGGACGCGGGCCAAGGACACUUGGACCCGCCUCAGUUAGCCGCCAGGUUCUGCCGCCGUCUUCCCGGCGCCAUUGCCUUAUGAGCAGCGUGGGCGGAUUGGGUUGGCGUCUAUUCUUUCCUGUCUAUUCAGGAUCCACCACAACACCCCCUUUCUAUUCCCACCUGAGGGUCUAUGAGGCAUGCCCAGUAGGGCUGUUUCUGCCCCAGCGGCUGUCUCGGGUGUUUCCCUGCUCUGAGGGAAUAUGGCUACAAGGCCACCAUCUACUACUCAUCUUUCUGUGCUCCACACACAUGGUAUGCAGGGGGGGCCGCAGGAGUCUUUCCCACCCCUGGAUUGGCCAAGGGUCUGGGGUUACCAGCAGCACCCCCACCCCAGGUCUCUCUGCCUUGAGCACAUGGAGCUUGAGCGUAUAAACUUAUCUGGCCUGAUCCGGACAUCUAAAUGGCCUUAAAGUUAUUAAGAACUAUAAAAGGGACUUUGACAAAAUUUUUAUGUUAACUAAAAAAUAAAAAAAAAAUGUAAAAAACUUAAAUAAUAAAAAAAAAUUGUCUAAAAAUGUCUAAGAAAGUCAAAAAAAUAAAAUAAAAGGUUAAAGAGAGUUAAAACAAAUGGUAAAAGUUAUAGAGGGUUAAAAUAAGUUAUAGAAGGUCAGAGAAAAGUUGUCGAAGGUCAGAGAAAAGGUUGUUACAAAUUAAAAAAAUGUAAACUGUGCUAUGGUUUCUCAUGUCUACAAAUAAAUUUUAAAAAUGGUAAUAUAAGU
rnacentral:lncRNA from 1 species